rnacentral:rRNA from 1 species
UACGGGGGGAGCAAGCGUUGUUCGGAUUUACUGGGCGUAAAGGGCGCGUAGGCGGUCAGCACAAGUGAGUUGUGAAAUCUCCGGGCUUAACUCGGAAAGGUCAACUGAUACUGUGCGACUAGAGUGCAGAAGGGGCAACUGGAAUUCUCGGUGUAGCGGUGAAAUGCGUAGAUAUCGAGAGGGAACACCUGCGGCGAAGGCGGGUUGCUGGGCUGACACUGACGCUGAUGCGCGAAAGCUAGGGGAGCAAACAGG